rnacentral:rRNA from 1 species
GACGAACGCUGGCGGCGUGCUUAACACAUGCAAGUCGAACGAUGAAGCCUAGCUUGCUAGGUGGAUUAGUGGCGAACGGGUGAGUAAUACGUGAGUAACCUACCUUUAACUCUGGGAUAAGCCUGGGAAACUGGGUCUAAUACCGGAUACGACCAAUCUCCGCAUGGGGUGUUGGUGGAAAGCGUUAUGUAGUGGUUAUAGAUGGGCUCACGGCCUAUCAGCUUGUUGGUGAGGUAACGGCUCACCAAGGCGACGACGGGUAGCCGGCCUGAGAGGGUGACCGGCCACACUGGGACUGAGAAACGGCCCAGACUCCUACGGGAGGCAGCAGUGGGGAAUAUUGCACAAUGGGCGCAAGCCUGAUGCAGCGACGCCGCGUGAGGGAUGACGGCCUUCGGGUUGUAAACCUCUGUUAGCAGGGAAGAAGAGAGAUUGACGGUACCUGCAGAGAAAGCGCCGGCUAACUACGUG